rnacentral:rRNA from 1 species
CCUACGGGUGGCAGCAGUGGGGAAUAUUGGACAAUGGGCGAAAGCCUGAUCCAGCCAUGCCGCGUGUGUGAAGAAGGCCUUCGGGUUGUAAAGCACUUUCAGUGGGGAAGAAAGCCUUGGGUCUAAUACCCUCGAGGAAGGACAUCACCCACAGAAGAAGCACCGGCUAACUCCGUGCCAGCAGCCGCGGUAAUACGGAGGGUGCGAGCGUUAAUCGGAAUUACUGGGCGUAAAGCGCGCGUAGGCGGUCUGAUAAGCCGGUUGUGAAAGCCCCGGGCUCAACCUGGGAACGGCAUCCGGAACUGUCAGGCUAGAGUGCAGGAGAGGAAGGUAGAAUUCCCGGUGUAGCGGUGAAAUGCGUAGAGAUCGGGAGGAAUACCAGUGGCGAAGGCGGCCUUCUGGACUGACACUGACGCUGAGGUGCGAAAGCGUGGGUAGCAAACAGGAUUAGAUACCCCGGUAGUC